rfam:Shigella dysenteriae Sd197, complete genome.
AUUGAACUCUUAAGGUUCACUUAAUCUCUGACGCGCAUACUCUCCUCCAGGUUAACGGAGGAGAGUGCAAUGAAAAACCGUGUUUAUGAAAGUUUAACUACCGUGUUCAGCGUGCUGGUGGUCAGCAGCUUUCUUUAUAUCUGGUUUGCCACGUUCUGAUCUUUCU